rnacentral:rRNA from 1 species
GUGAGUCAUCGAGUCUUUGAACGCACAUUGCGCCCCGCCGGUAGCCCGGCGGGCAUGCCCGUCCGAGCGUCGUUUACAAGAAUCGGGCUCAGCCCGGCGUUGGGCACCUGCGGUGGGAACACCACUAGCAGCGCCCCAAGUGCAGCGGCAGGUGUGGCAGUGACCCGAGCGCAGUAGCACACUCGCUCAGGGCUCACUGCGGCGCCUGGCCCAGAACGUGCCCCGCGCAGCCCGCGGGAAGCACUGACGCCGACCUCGGAUCGGGUAGGAUUACCCGCUGAACUUAAGCAUAUCAAUAAGCGGAGG